rnacentral:rRNA from 1 species
GACGUAGGGCGCGAGCGUUGUCCGGAAUUACUGGGCGUAAAGCGUGCGUAGGUGGUUUGUUAAGUCUGUUGUGAAAGCCCCGGGCUCAACCUGGGAAUGGCAAUGGAUACUGGCAAGCUAGAGUGCGGUAGAGGGUAGUGGAAUUCCUGGUGUAGUGGUGAAAUGCGUAGAGAUCAGGAGGAACACCGGUGGCGAAGGCGGCCUACUGGGCCAGCACUGACGCUGAGGCGCGAAAGCUCGGGGAGCGAACGGG